CCCACAAGACGGCAGCACAGCGGCCACUGGGAGAGGAGGCCUCCGAGUUCCUGCUCGACCACUCAGCAGCCUAAAAUACAACCAGCUGCACUCGCUGCCUGGCCAGCUGCUGGGGGAGGAGUGAAAUCCUACCCCUCUCCCCUGAACCCGGGCACCGGACCAGGGCCCAGGAGGGAGAGUACGAACCGUUGGGACCCCGCCUGGCUGCUGGGGAAGGGCGCUGGGCGACAAGAGGGGACAGCCGGGAGAGGGGUCGCAGUGACUGCAGCGCCCAGAAGGCCAAGGCCAGAGAAGAGAGGCUGCCAGCACCGCGAGGAAGGCGCUGUUGGGCCAGAGACUCUGAGCCCUGCAGUCACAGGCUGAUUGGAGAAGCAGGAGGAGCUCAUGAACACCCAUCAUUCCUGGCCAAGUCCAGCAGGCAGAUCCUACCCCCUGAAGCUUCAUCAACCACUGAACUCUCAGGAAUUCAGAGAACUGGCAUCAGACACAAGAUGAGAAGUCCUUAAAGUAACCAGGCUGUCAGCAGAAAUCAAAUCCACCCUCGAAAUGAAGACUGGCUACUUUGUUCAAGCCACUGAUGACACUGUGGCCCUGGCAGUGCCUGUCUGCAGAUCCUGCUAGAUCCUGCUUGCAUGCUCACAUCCCCAGCACAGUGACGGAUUCAUAAUGGUGACUGGUGUUUGCUGAUCUAUUUCGUGUUUUCUGAGCCGAUUGUAACAAGCUCCUUUAUGAAAGCAAUUUCCAAGGGGGAAACUACAGAGAGGUCUUGAGCUGUGGCAGCUUUGAAGGGUGAUCCAGGCCUCCUCGGACAUUGGGUUUGGGGGAACCCGAGGUCAUUUGGAUAUCAAAGAUCUGAUGUGUCUGGUAUUGUCUUUCCCACAAGCUCCUUUUGUAUUUUGCACAUACAGGUAAGAUAGGAUCUUGAUUUUCCUGGAACCUGGCUUGGCUUGUUUUUGGGUGUGUGAUUGAGAUGGUUCAGAGCUGUCGGGGGGAAGACGAAGCCAAGACUAGACAAGCCAGGGCGGGUUAGCAACUUUCUGCUGUGUCAGGAGCCCCUGAGAAAGGUUUCCCAAGUCCUAUCCUGUCUUGCCUGGGCUGUUUGUUUUUAUCUUUGCUUCGCUUUCUUUUUUGAGUAUAAUUUACAUACAGUAAAACUCACCCUUUUUAGCAUACAGUUGUGAACAUAUACAGACAUGUAACCACCACUGCGAUCAAGAUAUAGAACAUUUCAAUUAUCCCAAAAUAGUCCUCUGCACCCCAUUUGUAACAGAUCCCAGCUUCUGGCAACCUCUGAUCUGUUUUCUGGCCCAAUGCUUUCACCUUUUCCAGAAGGUAAUACAGAAUGGAAUUACACAGCCUUUUGAGUCUGGCUUCUUUCACUAACAAUGCAUUUGAGGUUUGUCUGCAUUGUUUCCUGCAUCAGUAGCUCUGUUCCUUUUUAUGGCUGAAUAGUCUUCUAUUGUGUGGAUGGGUCACCAUUCAUUUAUCCAUGCACGCACUGGAGGACAUUUAGGUCUUAACUGAGCAUUUACCAUAAGUACUCAAUGUACUAAACACUUCAGAAUUUUACUCACUGGGUGACCUUGAGCAAGUCACAUGGCCUCUCAGAGCCUUGGUUUCCCCACCUGUAAAAUGGGUAUAAUGAUAGUCCAGCCUCACAGGGUUGUUCUGGCAAUUAAAUGAGUUAAUUAAUACACAUCGAGUGCUUGGAACAGGCUUGGCCAUGUCAGUGUUUGCUGUUAUUUAUUAUAAUGUUCAUGUCCUCGCCCCUCUCAAUUUCAUCCACAUAGCAACACCAGGAGGUAAAAUUUACUCUUCUCCCUGUCUUAUGGAGGACAGACCUAACGCUACAAGAGAUCAAGCUACUUGUGCAAGAUGACUCAGGCAGCAAAUAGGGAAAUAGUGGAUCUGGGGUUUAAACUAGGACAACUGACCCCAGACUCACCGGCUCAGUUCCUGUAUCAGUCAAGAUUUAACCAAAGAGACAGAACUGGUAGCAUAUAUGUGUGUGUGUAUUAAGAGAAUUAUUUCAAGAAAUUGUCUUACACAAUUGUGGGGGCUGUCUAGACAACUCUGAAAUCUGUUGCGCAGGCCAGGCUGGAAACUCUUGGUUAGGAGCCAAUGCUUCUUCUUCAGGAAAACUUCGUGUUUGAUUUUAAGGCCUUCCUGCUUUUAAAGUCUCUUAACUGACUGGAUGAGGCCCACUCAUGUUAUCAAGUAUCACCUCCCGUACUUAAAGUCAACUGAUUGUAGAUGUUAACCUAACCAAAUCUACAAAAUACCUUCACAGCAACACCUAGGUUAGUGUAUAAAAAACUGAAUAACUAGGAUCUAGAUGUAAGCCAAGCUGAUGCUUAAAACUAACCAUCACAGCUUCUCUGAGUUGACAGCCCAUCAUCUGCUGAGAUUUCCACGGAGGCCCCUUUUCUAGUAAUAUUCUAAAAUGGCUAGUCAGUGUCCAGGUCAUAGAACCAUAGCUUUAAGGGAAGUUAUUGUGUUUGUUUGUUUUGGGGUAGAGGGGCAGCUGGCCAGUACAGGGAUCCGAACUCUUGACCUUGGUGUUACCAGCACCAAGCUCUUCCGAGUGAGCUAACCAGCCAGCCUUGUUUGUUUCGUAAACAAUUAAAACUUUCUGAACAUGACCCAGGAGAGGGGAGUUUCUGGUUCUAAGGUUGCCCCUAAACACAAGGACAUCCCUUGCCUGGUGUUUUUGGCAAGAGGUUGCCCUCUAGUAUGCUGAGAAACAGUAGUAAAACCAGAAAGGCCCACCCAGAGCCAUGUUAAGAUUUUUGGAGGCUGCCGUAUUUGUUGUAAUUCUUAGUUAAAUUUACACUAUAAAAUACCAGCGUGAGGAAGUCCACAACGUCUGGGUUUUUCCCCAUGCUGACAAUUCUCCUGCUAUUUAUUUAUGUAACUUUUUAAGUGUCAAAUUCUCUCCCCCCUUGGUUGGCUCAGGACCCCUGCUGUGUGGGUGCCUAGCCCCAGCACCCUCAUCACAGGUCAGCCGGUAUGUGUCCUAGUUCAGAGUCCUUACUGAUGAUAUUCUUACCUCCAGGUCAGAGAAUGGACAGGGAGAGCCACAAUCCCCCAGCUGCACAGCAGGGAAAGGCCAUGGUCUCCUUUCUCAGGAGUCCCAACCUGCUGAAAAGCGGCAGUCACCAGAAGCUUUUUGCUGUGGUGCUACCAGGAAGGGGGUGGCUCAGCAGCCCACCACUAAGUAAAAUGGUUAGUCACCCCUUUGUCAAUGCUUCCUUUGUGCCAGGCCUGUCCUGAGCUCUUUACAAAUGUUGACUCAUGUCAACUUCAAAGCCCUUACGAGGUGGGUAACACCUGCCAUCCCCAUUCUACAGAUGAGGAAGCCAAGGCCCAGAAUGGUUAAGUAACCAGCCCAAGGCCACACAGCCAGGAAGUACUAGAGCCAAGAAUGAAAUAAUCUUAGUCUGUUUUCUGCUGCUAUAACAAAAUACCUGAGACUGGAUAUUUUAUAAAGAAAAGAGAUGUAUUUGGCUCACAGUUCUGGAGGCUGGGAAGUCCAACAGCAUGGCACUGGCUCUGGUGAGGGCCCAUGUACUUACUGCAUCAUCCCAUGGCAGAAGAGAGCCAAACUGGCUUUUUCUCCUUCCUCCUCCUCCUCUUCUUCUUCUUCUUCUUCAUCUUCUUUUCUUUUUGAACUAGCUUUUAUAACAAGCUUACUCUCGAGAUAACUAACUCACUCCCAGGAUAACAUUAACCCAUUCAUGAGGGCAGUUGCCUCUUGACCUAAUCACCUCUUAAAAAUCCCACUUCUCAACACUGUUGCAUUGAGGAUUAAGUUUCCAGCACAGGAACUUUGGGGACACAUCCAAACCAUAGCAGAAACCCAACAGUCUGGCUCCAGAGUCAAUGUUACAUGGCCCUGACCUCCCAGGCAGUUCUUCCAGGAACCUCCCCUCUCAGGAGCCACCACCCCUACCUCCCCUCCCCUAGGCCCUUCUCAGGGAGUACCUCUUUCUGAACCUCCCUUCCACGUCAGCCCUGUCCUUGGCCAUAGGAACCCCAGACCAUCAGAGCCAAACAGGCUCAUGCCACCCACAGAUGAGUAAAGAGAGGCCCCGAGAGGUGCGUGGCACACCCAUGUCCCCACAAAUCACAAAGGUAGUGGGGAGAGAAAAAGAAACAUAUGCGUAAAAACUACCAGGCAUAUUUAUGAAGCGUACACUGCAACUGCAUGCCAGACAUUGUUCCAGGCACUGGAGACCCAGAGGAGGCAGGACCCAGUCCCCGUCCCGAUGUUGAUCCUAGUCUGGGAGGGAGAUGACACUUAGCAUGAAAGCCAAGGAACAAGAUAAUUUCAGAUUUAGUGGCAAGUGCUCUUGAGAAGACAGGAAAGUGAAAGGCCUGAGGGGCAGAAUUAGAAAGACCUAUACAGGGAGGUAAGUUUUGGUCCUAGACCCUCACCUCGAUCUAUCUAUCUAUCUAUCUACCUAUCUAUCUAUUUAUUUUAUUUAUUUUUUUAUUUUUUUAU